GAUGAACGCUGGCGGCGUGCUUAAUACAUGCAAGUCGAACGAAGCACCUUGGACAGAAUCCUUCGGGAGGAAGACCAUUGUGACUGAGUGGCGGACGGGUGAGUAACGCGUGGGUAACCUGCCUUGUACAGGGGGAUAACAGUUGGAAACGACUGCUAAUACCGCAUAAGCGCACAGUACCGCAUGGUACGGUGUGAAAAACUCCGGUGGUACAAGAUGGACCCGCGUCUGAUUAGCUUGUUGGUGAGGUAACGGCCCACCAAGGCGACGAUCAGUAGCCGACUUGAGAGAGUGAUCGGCCACAUUGGGACUGAGACACGGCCCAAACUCCUACGGGAGGCAGCAGUGGGGAAUAUUGCGCAAUGGGGGAAACCCUGACGCAGCAACGCCGCGUGAAGGAUGAAGGUCUUCGGAUUGUAAACUUCUUUUAUUAAGGACGAAGAAACGUGACGGUACUUAAUGAAUAAGCUCCGGCUAACUACGUG
rnacentral:rRNA from 1 species